CUAAGCCAUGCGAGUCAAAUGUUCUUCGUGAACAUGGCGUACUGCUCAGUAACACGUGGAUAACCUGCCCUUAGGUCUGGCAUAACCCCGGGAAACUGGGGAUAAUUCCGGAUAGAUCAUAGAUGCUGGAAUGCGCUUUGAUCCAAAGCUAUUGUGCCUAAGGAUGGGUCUGCGGUCUAUCAGGUUGUAGUGGGUGUAAUGUACCUACUAGCCUACGACGGAUACGGGUUGUGGGAGCAAGAGCCCGGAGAUGGAUUCUGAGACAUGAAUCCAGGCCCUACGGGGCGCAGCAGGCGCGAAAACUUUACAAUGCGGGAAACCGCGAUAAGGGGACACCGAGUGCCAGCAUCCUAUGUUGGCUGUCCAUAUGUCUAAAUCACAUGUGUUAGCAAGGGCCGGGCAAGACCGGUGCCAGCCGCCGCGGUAACACCGGCGGCCCGAGUGGUGGCCACUAUUAUUGGGUCUAAAGGGUCCGUAGCCGGUUUGGUCAGUCUUCCGGGAAAUCUGACGGCUCAACCGUUAGGCUUUCGGGGGAUACUACCAGGUUUGGGACCGGGAGAGGUAAGAGGUACUACGGGGGUAGGAGUGAAAUCUUGUAAUCCCUGUGGGACCACCAGUGGCGAAGGCGUCUUACCAGAACGGGUCCGACGGUGAGGGACGAAAGCUGGGGGCACGAACCGGAUUAGAUACCCGGGUAGUCCCAGCUGUAAACUAUGCUCGCUAGGUGUCAGGCACGGUGCGACCGUUUCUGGUGCCGCAGGGAAGCCGUGAAGCGAGCCACCUGGGAAGUACGGUCGCAAGGCUGAAACUUAAAGGAAUUGGCGGGGGAGCACUACAACGGGUGGAGCCUGCGGUUUAAUUGGACUCAACGCCGGAAAACUCACCGGGGGCGACAGCAAUAUGUAGGUCAAGCUAAAGACUUUACCAGAAUCGCUGAGAGGAGGGUGCAUGGCCCAAUCGGA
rnacentral:rRNA from 1 species